GCCGUAUGGAGUUGUAGGUAUAAGGUCUGGCCUGCCCACUGAUUUUUUUUAAGGGCCGCGGUAAUUUGACCGUGCGAAGGUAGCAUAAUCAAUAGUCUCUUAAUUGGAGGCUGGAAUGAAAGGUCGGACAAAGAAUAAAUUGUCUCUUAUAUAAAAAUUGAAUUUUACUUUUAAGUGAAAAGGCUUAAAUGACCCAAAGGGACGAUAAGACCCUAUAAAACUUUACAGGUAGCUUUUAUAUUUUUGAAUGAGAUGUAUAAUAAUUAUAUAGAAGUAGCUGUUUUGUUGGGGCGACAAAGAUAUAAUUACACAGAAUAACUGUCUAAUGAAAUUAAAUAAUUCUUUUUAGUUGUUGAUCCUUCUUUGUUGAUUAUAAGAUUAAGUUACUUUAGGGAUAACAGCGUGAUUUUUUCUGAGAGUCCUUAUCGAUGAAAGUAGUUGCGACCUCGAUGUUGAAUUAAAGUUUCCUUUAUGUGCAGCAGUGUAUAAGGUUGGUCUGUUCCACCAUUAAAAUU
rnacentral:rRNA from 1 species